AGGAGCUAGUACCUUACCCAAAAAAGCUAUGUUGUCCCCCAGAGGCGUGUUGAGCAAGUUUUAUCACCUGGCUUUAUCAAAAGUCUUAGUGGACCUAAAGAUGGUCUUGGGCCUGGCAUUAAUAUUGAGGUGGACAUGGCCCACUCACAUGGUAAGCAUUUACUUCAAGACCCUAUUAUCAUGCCAUCUGAUCCACUUGAUAUCAGGCCUAGCAGUACUAACACAUUGCCUAGGUGCCACCCUUUUGUGCUCUCUACCUUUGCUGGCCCAUAUGAUAAUGUUGGUUCAACUAGGUUGGGCAUCCUGGGUUUACAGGAGCAAGGCCAUGGUAGACCACCUGCUUUCACCCUUAAUCCCCUGUGGAAUGUCAAGAAAUCAGGAAAAAAGAAGGCUCAGAUGGAGGGCUUCUCCCGUUUUGCUAGGCUUUAUGGUCACAAAGCUGCAGCAAUUAGUAAACACACCUCCAGGUCUGUUAUCUUCAAACUAGCAGUAGUUGCUCUUGCAAACUUAGAUCUCUCUGAGGGUGACCCAAGUUCGAAUAGCUAUCUCCUUAAAGAAGCUAAAGCAACUAUUAAUUUGGGGGAAAAACUUGGUAUAAAUUUUAAGGGUAAAGAAGUUGCUGUGCUGGAUAAGAUUAUUGACCUAGAGUUGAAGGAUAAAGAGAGAAUCAACAAGGAUGGUAAGGUGAAACUGUAAUAACAAUAGCUGGGGGGACUUACAGUGUAUCUAUUUUUUUCUAUGAAGCUUCUUUUUUGGAAUGUUAGAGGUAUUGGUAGGCCUGAAGAGGGGCAGAAUCAAAAGACUUCUAAGAGAUAGGCACAUUGAUAUUGCAUUCCUUCAAGAAACUAAGAAAGUAGUGGUUUCAGAGACUGCAGUUAGAGGGCUCUGGGGAAAUAGGAAAAUGGAGUUUAUGUUUGUGGAUCCUGAUGACUCUACAGGAGGGCUUCUUUGUAUCUGGGACCCAGAAGUUUUCCAACUCUCUGGCAGCUGCUAUAACAGGAGGUUCAUUCUCCUCUCAGGUAGCAAAAAAGGGUGAAACACUACUAACUCAGUUAUGGCGCAUGUACCAAGGAGGUAAAACAGAGGGAAGGGCCUAUUGACUGUCACACGGGAGAGGAGUCAGCGGAAACUUUGAUGGAGGAGUCAAUGCAUAGCCCAAAAAAUCAGGUGCAAGUCUCUACACCUGGAUUUACCAGAAACCUUAGUGGAUCUAGAGAUAGACUUGGGAUGGCAUCAAUCUUGAAGUAGAUUUGGCCCAUGAGACAUGACGGGACAUGAUUGCAUUGAGAUGAAGAUGUGAAGAUCAAAAUAUGAAAUUUCUGUUGGAUUGAAGUUUCUGCUGGAUUGUGACUUGGAUCACUUCUUUUUAUUUUGUUGUUUUCAGUUUAUGUAUGAAAUAAUGAACCACUGUUGUUUUCAGUUUAUGUUUGGCAUUUGAGAUUAUGUUGAAGUUUGUAUUGAAGUUUGUUGUGUAGAAGUUUUAUAUGUACUAGUGUUUGUGGUUGUUUGAUUUAUGCACCAGAUGUUGAAGUUUGAUGUUGAA